UACGUAGGGCGCAAGCGUUGUCCGGAAUUAUUGGGCGUAAAGAGCUCGUAGGCGGCCAGUUGCGUCUGCUGUGAAAUCCCGGGGCUCAACCCCGGGCGUGCAGUGGAUACGGGCUGGCUAGAGGCAGGCAGGGGAGAACGGAAUUCCCGGUGUAGCGGUGAAAUGCGCAGAUAUCAGGAGGAACACCGGUGGCGAAGGCGGGUCUCUGGGCCGAUACUGACACUGAGGAGCGAAAGCGUGGGGAGCGAACAGG
rnacentral:rRNA from 1 species